rnacentral:rRNA from 1 species
AAUGAACGCUGGCGGCAGGCUUAACACAUGCAAGUCGAACGAGAAUGGCCCUGCUUGCAGGGACCCAUCUAGUGGCAAACGGGUGAGUAACACGUGGGAAUGUACCUCUCAGUUCGGGACAACUAUUGGAAACGAUGGCUAAUACCGGAUAAGCUCUACGGAGGAAAGAUUUAUCGCUGAAAGAUCAGCCCGCGUUAGAUUAGUUUGUUGGUGAGGUAAUGGCUCACCAAGACUACGAUCUAUAGCUGGUCUGAGAGGAUGAUCAGCCACACUGGGACUGAGAUACGGCCCAG